rnacentral:lncRNA from 1 species
GGGCCUCUCUGCUUUCUACGGUGCUCCCAAGCCGGAAACCGAAGCCAUCGCUCUCAUCCACCACGCUAUUCACUCCGGUGUCACUUUCCUUGAUACCUCUGACAUUUACGGUCCUGAAACCAACGAGGUUCUUCUCAGCAAGGUUCGAUUUUUGAUCAUUCCCCAUCUUCGAUUUCAUAUUGAUAUUGUUUAAUAGAGGAACUGGCCUUGAUUCGUUGAGCUUCAUAGCUGUAGAAAGGAUUCCGAUGUUGCAAGUUUGGAUUUUUGUUGAAAAUUUGGAUUUUUGUCAGGCUCUGAAGGAUGGAGUGAGAGAAAAAGUGGAACUUGCCACCAAAUAUGGAAUCAGGUAUGCAGAGGGGAAAGUAGAGUUUAACGGAGAUCCUGCGUAUGUAAGAGCUGCGUGUGAGGCAAGUUUAAAGAGGCUAGAUGUUACCUGCAUUGAUCUCUAUUAUCAGCAUCGAAUUGAUACUCGUGUCCCUAUCGAAAUCACUGUAAGUAAGCCCUCUCCUUUUCAAUCUUCCUUGAUGGUUUUGCAACUUUCAAAUGAAAUGGAAGUUAUGUACUUCAUCUCCGUGGCUAGGGACAUGUUGGGGCUAAUAUAGAGUUGAAGAAUUUAGAUUUCAGAACCUGUAAAAUGAUCUGGUGAAAUGAUCUUGAACUGAGCGGUUUGGAGGCUUUCUCAUCUAUCAUCACCUGUAAAUAGUCCAUCUUGCGAGGAUAGGAUUGUCACUUAGUCCUUCCAAUGUGGGAUCUUAUCAUCCCCCUAAGAAUGUUUCAUUUGAAUAGACUCCUCCAUUAGGUUUGACACUGAGCUCUAAUUGGGUUGCCACACUUGAUGACCUUUAUAGAAAGCCGGCACCUUUUGCUGAACUUAACAAUCUCUUUUGUCUGUCAAUUUCAAAGAUAGGAGAGCUGAAGAAGCUAGUUGAAGAAGGUAAAAUAAAGUAUAUCGGUUUGUCAGAAGCUUCAGCUUCAACUAUUAGAAGAGCACAUGCUGUUCACCCGAUAACCGCUCUGCAAAUUGAAUGGUCCUUAUGGUCGAGAGAUGUGGAAGAAGAUAUCAUUCCAACUUGCAGGUAUCCAGAUUUCAUUUAAUCCUCCUUUCUUGAUGCACUAUCUAUCAAGUACGUAACAUCUUCUCUCUCUUUCUUCAGGGAACUUGGAAUUGGAAUUGUUGCUUACAGUCCUCUGGGACGAGGUUUCUUUGCAUCAGGACCCAACCUUGUUGAGAACCUAGACAAUAAUGACGUCAGAAAGGCAAGUACACAGCCUUUUUAUGACUUGUUUGAUUGAUGAACUGUUGGUAAUCAACUCACUGUUUAUCUGCUCAACUCUGUUUCUUAUUGCAGACUCUACCAAGAUUCCAACAGGAAAACUUAGUUCACAACAAGAUUCUCUUUGAGAAAGUUUCUGCAAUGUCGGAGAAGAAAGGGUGCACUCCCGCACAACUAGCCCUUGCAUGGGUUCAUCACCAGGGAGAUGAUGUUUGCCCCAUCCCAGGAACCACUAAGAUUGAAAACCUUAACCAGAACAUUGGAGCUUUAUCAGUGAAACUUACUCCCGAAGAGAUGUCUGAGCUCGAGUCCCUUGCCCAACCAGAGUCUGUGAAAGGAGAAAGAUCCAUUAGCAUCCUGACCACGUUCAAGAACUCUGAGACUCCACCAUUAUCUUCUUGGAAAGCCGCUUAAAAUUGUCCGAGUUUCUCUGGUUGUUGUGGGGUUCAUGACACUGAAGUGGUCUAACUUAUAUCAGCCAGAUCAAGGUAAUAAAUGUGUUAAUGCCUUGAAGAAUAAAUAAUUUAUAGAGUUCCCCAGGUGAAAACUUCAAUUUACAUUUCAUACAUUGUAACCAAACUCUAUAAACAAAUAUAUGUUCUGAUACAAACUUAAAUAACGUUUACACCAAAAAUCUUACCAAGCUAUCUAUAUCGUCACCCAACUCUAUGAAGGAUAUGUGCGAUGAAAAUGUCUCGGUUCCAUCUCUUUUGUUCUUGUUUUUUUCUUCUGCAUUUCCCCCACUUCUCCUUUUUGAUUUUCAUAAUUAGUUUUGCAGAUAAAGAUUUCCAUAAUAUUCAACAAAAAAGUAUAAUUUUCAUAAAGCUAAGAAAAAGUAUUUAUUUAAAAAAUUAACUCACAGGUCAUUAGAUUUACUUCAAUUUAAUAGAGAGGUAAAGUGUUUAACUUAGACUCCGAUGAGUAACAUUAAUUACAUAAUUGCAUAAAAUUAUCACAUAAAUUGCAAAUUGAAAACUCGCAGAAAUUGUAGAAUGAAAAUUUGUGCUGAUUCAAUACAUUUGUAUACCCAUUUACUAGAUUUUAACCCGCGGUACACCGCGGGAUGAUUUAAUUUUAAAGUUAGUAUAAAAAUAUUUUGUAAAUUGUAUCUCCUUAUAACAUAUUUAUUUAUAUUAUAGUUUACAAUUGUUAUUAAGUAACGGUAUACCACGAGUCCACGAGAUAAUUAUUAAUGAACUGAGGAUUUAACCCGUAUUAAAGCGGUAUAUAAAUAUUGAUUCAAAUUCGUCCGCCAUAUAAAUCAUUUCCGAAAUAUAACCCGUUCCGUAAUUUCUUAACCCGUCCUGUGAUUUGUAUUAAAAAAAAUAAGGAUUAAAUCCGUAUUGAAGCGGCGGAUUAAUGAUAUUUUAAUCUUUUUAUUAUUGUUGAUUCAAAAACCCGUCCCGCCAAACCCAUCCCGCCAAAAAACUCAUUUAUUUUAUUAAUGUUCUUAUUUAUGAUAUGAUUCUGAAUCAUUGUCUAAAUAUUUUAAUCGAUAUAGAACGUUGAACACACAUUUUCGUCAAUUGGAUAAUAUAUGUCCGUUUUUAAAAUUUCGAAUCACAGUAUAUGCAGAAAAAAAAUUGAUUUUUUUUUUACUUUAUGUAUUAUAUGAUGAUUCAAAACAGUUAAAAACAAAUCAAACAAAGGUGAUAGGAGAAUCAUAAUUAUAAAUCUUAAUCAAAUCUUCUAAAAAUCUAAAUUAUUAAAUAUGGAAUAUCCAGUGUAUGAGUUGGGUUAAAUAUAACCCGACCCAACAAAUUUUUUGUGAAGGAAUUUUUAAAAUGGGUCGGAUAUCCGAUAUACCCGAAAGAUUUUUUACCCACCCGUCACAAAAAGUGCUGCGAUUAUACUAGUAUAGAUUUGCAGAAUGAGUUAUAGGCGAAAAAGGCAAAUUUGCGUUUUGUCAAACAUCGUAGAUAAUUUUUUUUUAUUAGUAAACUUUUUGCAUAGUCGCAUUAGAAAAUGUCAUUCAAUUUAAUAAACUUAUAAAAAAUAUAAUUGUUGUUAAAAUAUUAUAACAACAAAAAUAAAAAUAAACCUCUUCAUAAACAUUAUUAAUAGAUUUUAAAUUUGAAUUAACAAGAAAAAAAAAUUGAAGUUUAUAGUUUCUCACAAGUGAAGAAGACUGUUAAGAGUAUAUUUGGUUAAAAGGAGUUUGACUUGUGAAAAUUCCAUUACUUUUUUUGGUUAACAAUUUCAAUUUUGUUUUCGUAAAGAGGAAAAAAAACUGCACCAACCAGACAAAAGCGACACACGGCUUUUCUCUUCAUCAUCAUUCAUCAUUCACCAACCCACCACCUCCAACAACAAUAACUCCACUCAAAAUUCACAGCUCUACAAGAGUCACCUAGACAAGUCAAGAGACAGAGAAAGUUCUGACUUCUGACAGAGAUUCAUGGCGGAAGCUUGCGGAGUGAGAAGGAUGAAGCUGGGAAGCCAAGGCCUUGAGGUAUCGGCGCAAGGCCUCGGUUGCAUGGGCCUCUCUGCUUUCUACGGUGCUCCCAAGCCGGAAACUGACGCCAUCGCUCUCAUCCACCACGCUAUUCACUCCGGUGUCACUUUCCUUGACACCUCUGACAUCUAUGGUCCUGAAACCAACGAGGUUCUCCUCGGAAAGGUUCGAUUUUUAUGAUUCCCGAUCUUCGAUUUGAUCUUCGGUUUUAAAAUUUUGUUCUCUUUUGGGCAACAAAGAACGAUUUAGAGAUGGGAAUUGGCCUUUGAUUUCUUUGAGCUUCAUAGCUGUAGAAUUGAUUUCAAAGUUUGGAUUUUUUUCAGGCUCUGAAAGAUGGAGUUAGAGAAAAAGUGGAACUUGCAACCAAAUUUGGGAUCAGUUAUGCAGAGGGAAAGAGAGAGGUGAGAGGAGAUCCUGAGUAUGUAAGGGCUGCUUGUGAGGCUAGUUUAAAGAGGCUAGAUAUUGCCUGUAUUGAUCUUUAUUAUCAGCACCGUGUCGAUACUCGUGUUCCUAUCGAAAUCACUGUAAGCUUCCUCUUGCAAAUCCUCCUUCAUGCUAUAGUUUCAAAGUUUACAAUUUGGUUAGUCUUAGUCUUUUACUCUUGUCCCUACCGAAAUCACUGUAAGCCCUCUUGCCAAUCCUACUUAAUGGAUUUGAAACUUUCAAAUGAAAUGGAAGUUAUAUAGUUCACUACUUCAAGAGAAAUCUCAGAGAGCUUCACAUCUUGGCUUGGUUUAUCGGACUAAUAGGGACAAAGAAAAUAGAUUGGAGAUGAUGUUUUCUGCUUAGGUUAUUACUCUUUCGAAGUGGCUAGCUUAUUCACAAAGAACAAUGUCUGGUGUAAUGAUCUUUAACUGAGAGAUUUUGAGGCUUUCUUAUCUACUUUCACCUAUAAGUACUCUCCUAAGCCAGCUUGUGAAGAUAGGGUGCCCUUUGGACCUAUUAGCCAUUCACUUUUUCCUCUCCUUUCCAAUGUGGUAUGUUUGGUGAUAAUUAGUCCCUCAGUACCAUCUCCUCUAAGGAUUUUUCGUAUGAAUAGACUCUGUUAGGGUCGGUUCUGAGCUCUACUUCCUGACCUUCAUAGAAAGCCGAAAUCUUUUCCUGAACUUAACCAUUUUUUUGUCUGUCAAUUCCAAGAUGGGAGAACUGAAGAAGCUGGUUGAAGAGGGUAAAAUAAAGUACAUUGGUUUGUCUGAAGCCUCUGCUUCAACUAUCAGAAGAGCGCAUGCUGUUCACCCAAUUACUGCUGUGCAGUUAGAAUGGUCCUUGUGGACGAGAGAUGUGGAAGAAGAAAUCAUUCCGACCUGCAGGUAUUCAGGUUUCAUCCUACUUUCCUGGUGCAAUAUCUAUCAAUCAUGCAAAUUCAUAUUCUCUUUCCUUCUUCAGGGAACUUGGGAUUGGGAUUGUUGCUUACAGUCCUCUAGGACGAGGUUUCUUCGCAUCUGGACCCAAGCUUGUUGAGAACCUAGAAAAGGAUGACUUCAGAAAGGCAAGUACAUAGUCUUUGUGUAUGACUUGUUUGAUUGAUGAACCUUACAUAACCUGUGGAUAAAUCAAAUGACUUUAUACAAACUCAAUUAUUGCAGGCUCUACCAAGAUUCCUAGAGAAAAACUUAGACCACAACAAGAUUGUUUAUGAGAAGGUUUGUGCAAUCUCGGAAAAGAAAGGAUGCACUCCUGCACAGUUAGCUCUGGCAUGGGUUCACCACCAGGGAGAUGAUGUUUGUCCCAUCCCAGGAACCACUAAGAUCGAAAACCUCAACCAGAACAUUGGAGCUUUAUCAGUGAAACUCACUCCCGAAGAGAUGACUGAGCUUGAGGCCAUUGCCCAACCAGGUUUUGUGAAAGGGGAAAGAUACAGUAGCAUGAUACCCACUUUCAAAAACUCUGAGACACCGCCAUUGUCUUCUUGGAAAGCUGCUUAAAAUCGUCUGAGUUUGUCUGGUUGUUGUGGGGUUCAUGACACUGAAGUGGUCUAACUUAUGUCAGUCAGAUCAAGGUAAUAAAUGUGUUAAUGCCGUGAAGAAUAAAUAAUGUAUAGAGUUCCCCCAAGUGAAAACUUCAAUUUACAUUUUCAUACAUUGUAACCAAACUCUAAAAAAUAAGUAGUUAUUUUCACUUGAAGUUAUUUUCACUUGAAGUUAUUUUCGGUUUGGUUUAAUUAAACCAGGAUUCGGGUGUUAUUUUCGGUCCAACACUUAAACAAGCGAAGCGACCCAAUUGGUUGGUUAAUCAUCAUCUUCAUCGAGUCACACCCUAGUUUGCCACUAAACCGAAAAAAUGAAUCUGGCCUGCCAUUUUAUGAUCUAUAUGCCACUAUAUAUAUGUGUUAUCUCCAUUUUACCCUUAAUGAAUUAUUCCUUAUUUAAUUUUUAAAAAGCAAAAGAGAAAAUAAAAAAAAAAACAAAACUCUCAGUAUGUGGGUCCCAAAAAACGUUUAGCGUAUGAUUUUUUUUUAAUGUUGUAUUUACUCGAUAUAUGGGUCCUACUAAAAAGUUUUUUUUUUUUUUUUUUCGGCAGAAUAAUACUCAUAGUUGUCCAGUUGUACUAUCAUAAUCAUAGUUGAACUUUCCACAGUUUUCAUAAUUUGCAGUUGGACGAGACUGUAAAUUAUUUUGCAUUACCAAAGUUUUCAUAAUGGAACAUUGGUGAAAACUACAUUUUCACUUUUUUUACUUCAUAUAUGGUGAUUAUAUACUAAGUAUUCCUUAUAGUAGAAAGGAUGUUUUAUGUGAAAACAACAUUAUUUCUUAGAAGUUAUUAAUUGUAUUGAUCCGAAAUAGUUUGUUUAUAUUUUGGGGAAUUUAAUAUAUAAUUUUACGUUUAUAAUAAAUCAAAUUAUUAUAAGUUAUAAAUUAGGAUUCUAUAAAAAAAUUCUCCAAAAAAAUCUUCAAAUAUAUAUAAACUAUUUUAAAUCAAUACAACCAUAAUUUAUAAAUUUUGUAGCAAGCUUUGUUUUUUUUUUUGUUUUUUCACAUAAAACACUCCUUCUAGUAUAAGGAAGACUUAGUACAUGAUCACCUCGUAUGAAGCAAAAGAGGUAAAAACCAAAUUUUCCUGAACAUUGUAUUAUGAAAACCUCGUAUAUGCUAAUUAAUAGUGAACAAUCAUGUGUCCAACUACUAAUUAAUAAUUUAUACAAUAGUUCAACUGAAAAUACGAAAAAUUCGCCAAAGUCCAACUAUGAAUAUGAGAGUACAACUGGACAACUAUGACUAUAUCCAGCCGCCAAAUCCAAACGUGCAUUUUACUCAGGCCCACAACUGUGCACUUUAGUCGGACCUACAACUGUGCAUUUUACGACACGUAGGAUGAUUUUAAAACAUUUUAUAUUGAAACAUUUUAUAUUUUUUUUAUUUUUUUUUUCUACUUUUCUUCUUUCUCAGUUUAUCUAGUUGGACCGAAUAAUUAGAUCUCAGUUGUACCUAAUAAUUGCAGUUGUACCAAAAUAUCAUCAAAGUACAUAAACAAAAGAUAUAGUUUACCAUAUAUAAACAUCAGUUUCGUUGGAUCUGUAGUUUUCAGUUUCAGUGUCCGCUUCAUCUUCUUUCUCUCAAGUAGUGGGUUAUUGGAUUUGGGUCGAAUUAUUUUGGUUGGGUCUGUAGUUUCCAAUCAUCUAAAAGGUACAUUUCCAUCGCUUUUGAUUUUUUAAAAAAUGGUAAAUAAAAUUACAAAGAAGACGGUGGCAUUCUAGCAUUUUUUUCCGGAGAAAGUGGCUUUCUAGCCAUUGUUUCAUCUUCAUCAGAGAUCAACCCAACUUCACUCAAUGCUGAUGAUGCAGUCUCAGCUCUUAAAAAGCAUAAAUCAAAGUGAAAGAAACCAUUACCACCGUGGGUCGUUCGAUUGCAACUAAAUAAUGUGAAUCAUUUCCAGUUCAACAAUGGAAGGUCUUCGAGAAUCUGAGCAUCUCUUCGUCAAUAAGGACCUCGUCGUGCGUCUCUCUCUCUCUCUAUUCAUCUAUAUAUUUCCUUAUCUGUGUUGCAGACAUUAAACGAUAGAUAAAGGAAAUGAUGUCAUGUGAUCAUCUCAAUUUAGGAUUUUCCUGGUUUAUGUCUGCUACACUAAACCCUAAAUGAUCGAUCCUCUUCAGUAGUAGCUUAAGAAUCUCCAUGGUCAAAAAGGCUUCUUUAUUUUCUCUCACUAAUAUCAUUGUUGCUUUUUUUUUAUGGCUGGAUUAGGAAUUUUAGUUAUCAAUGGAGCAAUUGGCACAAACCCUUUUUCUGAUUUUAGUCUUUUUCACAUGACAGGAUGAUUAUGUCGAAAUUUCCGGUAAAGAUGAUACAUCAGAAAGUUCCAAUGUCAAAAGGAAAGUUGAAAGUCUCUUCUGUGUUAUGAGAAAGAGAACUUGUAGGCACAACUCUGUCGAUGAUGAUGAUAUGUUUCCGGAUUUAGAUAAUAAUGCAGAGAAAGGUGAUGGUGAUGAGGAUAUACGAAAUUGUCUGAGACCUGAAAGUGACUUCUGGUUUGAAAAUCUUACGGAUAGUCCUUAUGAUCCAUUGGAUGAAGGUACCAUUGUAGACGACAGUGGCAGUGACACAAACAUAUCUGAAUCUUCAGAAUUUGAUGUUAUAUCGGAACAUGUUCUAGAAGAAAAUGAUUUGGUAACGGGAUCGAAAUCUUUGGCUAUAUGGUCCAGUGAGGAUAAGGGAGCUCUGGUUAGUAAAUGGUCUUUAGAAACUCGGAAUUCUAUCUUGUUGUUAUCUCCUGAUGAGCAUGGUGUAAGGUCUAAAGAAGAUGAGGUGUUAUCAUCUGUUUCUGCAUCCACAAAGAAAUUACAGCAUAUCAUUGAUCCCCAAAUUAUCUCUGGACAUAGUAAUGACAUCUCUCUCUUCCAUAUAGAACGGAAAAAAGAUCGAAUAUUCUGCAUCACUGGGCAUUGUGAAGAUAUAUUGAGGUGCAGUGUCAACAAAGAAGAUUCAGAAAUCCCAUGCAAUUUUGAUAUCUUCAAGAAUGAUGGCGACAAAUCAUCUGCAAAUGAAGUUAGAUGUGGAGAUGUCAUCAACAUGCAGGGGUCUAUGGAGAUAAUGUGCAUUAAUGAUGAGCUUACACUGUGGAAUAAAGACAAUGAACCAAUACCGAUCAGCAUUGUUCCUCCUGAUGGUUGGGAAAGCGUAUUGCUAGAAACAUGUUCACUUCAUCAGAUAGACAGAUGUAUAAAUGAAUACAAUGUUCGUGAUGAUAACAUUGGCCUUGAAAUAUCUCCAAUACCUUUAACAAAAACUCUGGAAAGACCUAGUAGGCCAUUGUCAGUUUGUGGCUCUAUAGCUGCAGUCAGAAACUUACCUCUAAUGGAAGAUAGCUCAGGUGCUUGUAGUUCUUUGGAUGAACAAGUAUAUGCAAAUGCUAAUAGCUCUGAGGACAGGGACGCAGAACUUGCUCAAACCCCAUCAACUCUAUAUCAGGAAGAAGUGGAUGGAGAAGAUGAGAUUGACAUUGAUGCAAUGGUAAACCCUGAUUACUCUAUACACAAUCGUGUCACAAAUUAUCAUUCAAUGUGUUUUCUGAUCUCUGAUAUCACAUGAAAACAUCUCCAGAUCCGCAAAUUGAAUCUAGUCCCAGAUGAUUCAGAUUCAUGCUUCAACAGGGAAGGUAAACCGUAUGGCUUAUGAUGUCCAAUCAAUCAUGUAACUAAUUCACACUGUUGCAUCCAAAGAGAAUGUAAAAAAAAAAAACAGUUAUGUCUCUCUCAAACUAUAGUUGUCUCAAUUAUGGUUCGCUUCAUGAUACCUAGAAUGGAACAUAUAUAAGCACCCAAGACACGCCUUAAUUGGAUUGGAACACUGCACAAGAACUUCAUUGCAAAGAGCAAAUAUGUUUCAUGGGGCAAUUGCCAUCCUGCAUUGUCGUGAUUCAAAGCAUUUUGUCAGAAAACGCGAGGUAUGUUAGACAAAACAUUUUCUUCUGUCUUGAUGUUUUCAUGUCGUCUCAAGUCCUCUUAGUUACAUGGCAGAAGAUCAUUUAUUUGUCAUAGGUAAUUAUUGGGAGAUCAUCUGAUGGCCUGAAUGUUGACAUUGACUUGAGUAAAUAUAAUUAUGGGAGUAAGAUAUCUCGGCGUCAGGUGAUCCUCUUUCCCUUUCCCAAAUUAAAAUUAGUUCACUAGUUAAGUUCUUAAUUACCAUCUUGCUAAUGUGCUAUAUUUUCUAUCUCUAUAUUAAGGCAUUGGUUAAGCUAGAGAACAACGAAUCAUUCUCUCUAAAGAACCUUGGAAAGCGACAUAUUCUUGUAAAUGGAGAAAAACUCGAUACAGGACAGAUUGCAACCCUCACAUCGUGUAGUUCAAUCGAUGUAAGUCCGAGCUUAUGCUUUGCACUAGUGUGUUUAUGCAUCUUUCUUUAACUAGAACGCCCAAAUUUUGCAGAUUAGAGGAGUAACCUUUGUGUUCAAGAUUAACAAAGAAGCCGUGAGACAAUUCUUGAAGAACAACACACGAAGAAAGACCGAGGAAGACACCAAAUUCAGAUGGUGCGAAUAGAUUCUGUUAAAUUCUCUUUUGCUCUACCACUCUCUGCAUAGUCUUAAUGACCCAUCCACAUGAUUUAAAUGUCCAACCUGACUUAGGGUUAGGAGUUUAGACACCUAAUGCCAAUGAAUGAAUGAUCCCAUCAUAUCUGUGUUAAUGCCUUGAAGAAUAAACUUUGUAUAGAGUUUCCCAAGUGAGAACUUCAAUUAACAUUUCGUACAUUUUGACCAAUCUCUAUUAGGAAGAUUUGUUCUGUAACUCUUUCAAGCUAAAACCUUACCGUAACAAAAGCUCCCUGUUCAUCCAACUCUAUGAAAGAUCUGCUGCGACGUAUCGGUUCAAUCUCUGUUCUUGAUUUCUUCUUCCGCAUUUUCCACUUCUUCCCAAUCGAUUUUCCUGUAACCAUGUUUCCUCUGUCAGCUUCUAUUCAAUUACUUAUGCUUCUUCUAUUACCAAUUUAGAGUCUCAACAGUGAAGAUCAGCUUCUUCUCUAAUCUCUAUCAACUUCUACUCAAUAACUUGUGCUUCUCUUACCAGUUUUUAGAGUCUCAGUGGUAGUAGUUAAUCCAUCAUCUUAUUUUCCGUUUGAUUAAACUUGAUUGGUAUACUUUGGUUUAAGAGUGUUGGUUUAGUUAAACCAGGAUUUGAGUUCAAUCAUCAUCAUCAUCAUCAUCAUCAUCAUCAGUCAAAUCAAAACUCUACGAGAGAGAGAGAGAGACUGAGAAAUUCAUGGCGGAAGCUUGCAGAGUGCGGAGGAUGAAGCUAGGAAGCCAAGGCCUCGAGGUAUCGGCGCAAGGCCUUGGUUGCAUGGGCCUCACCGGUCAUUACGGUGCUUCCAAGCCGGAAACUGAAGCCAUCGCUCUCAUCCACCACGCUAUUAACUCCGGCGUUACUUUCCUUGACACCUCUGACAUGUAUGGUCCUGAAACUAAUGAAAUUCUCCUUGGAAAGGUUCGAUUUUGUUAGUAUCUGAUAUUUCAUUUCGUUCUCUGCUGGGAAAACUUAGAGAUGGGAAUUAGCCUUGAUUUGUUUGAGCUUCAUAGCUUUAGAAAUGAUUGGUCACUUGUUGAAACUUCGAAUUCUGUUAGGCUCUUAAGGAUGGUGUGAGGGAGAAAGUGGAGCUUGCGACCAAAUUUGGAAUUAGCUAUGCAGAGGGAAAGAGGGAAAUUAAGGGAGAUCCUGCCUAUGUUAGAGCUGCUUGUGAGGCUAGUUUGAAGCGGCUAGAUGUUUCCUGUAUUGAUCUUUAUUAUCAGCAUCGGAUCGAUACCCGUGUCCCUAUCGAAAUCACUGUAAGCCCUCCUCUUACUUUCAAUUGAAAUGGACGUUACUUAUACUUCAGGUGGGCUUGAGUGUGUCUCAGUAAGCUUCACAUCUUUGGAUUGGUAUAUGUUUUGAGAUGAUGUUUUCUGCUUAGGUUACUCUUUUAGAAAUUGCUAGCUUAUUCAUAUAGAACCGACUUCUGGUGAAAGUAUCUCUCAUCUACCACUUAAAAGCCACCUUGUGAGGAUAGGGUGCCCUUUAGAGUUUAGACUUAUAAGCCAUUUACUUAGACACUUUUCCUUCCAAUGUGGGAUCUUAUCAUCUCCCUUAAUGAUUGUUCGUUUAAAUAGAAGAUCCUCUCUAGUUCGAUUGCCAUACUUCCUGACCUUUAUAUAGAAAGCUGUUUUGCUGAACUUAACAAAUGUUUUGUCUGUCAAUUCCAAGAUGGGAGAACUAAAGAAGCUGGUUGAAGAGGGUAAAAUAAAGUACAUCGGUUUGUCUGAGGCCUCUGGCUCGACUAUCAGAAGAGCGCAUGCUGUUCACCCAAUUACUGCCGUGCAGUUAGAGUGGUCCCUGUGGACGAGAGACGUGGAAGAAGAAAUCGUCCCAACCUGUAGGUAUGCAGAUUUCAUCCUCCUUUCAUGAUGCAUUAAUUCAUCAAUCAUGUAACGUCUUGUCUUCUUUCUUCAGGGAACUUGGGAUUGGGAUUGUUUCUUACAGUCCUCUUGGACGAGGUUUCUUUGCAUCGGGACCCAAGCUUGUUGAGAACCUAGUCAAUAAUGACUUCAGAAAGGCAAGUACACAGCCUUUUUAUGACUUAUUUGAUUGAUUAACCUUAAAGAAGCGGUGGAUAAAUCAAAUGACUUUAUAUAAAACUCAAUUAUUGCAGGCUCUACCAAGAUUCCAACAGGAAAACUUAGACCACAACAAGAUUCUCUACGAGAAGGUUUGUGCAAUAUCAAAGAAGAAAGGAUGCAGUCCCGGACAACUAGCCCUCGCAUGGGUUCACCACCAGGGAGAUGAUGUUUGCCCCAUCCCAGGAACCACUAAGAUUGAAAACCUCAACCAGAACAUUGGAGCUUUAUCAGUGAAACUCACUCCUGAAGAGAUGUCUGAGCUCGAGACCAUUGCCCAACCAGAGUCUGUGAAAGGAGAAAGAUACAUGGCAACAGUGCCAACCUUCAAAAACUCUGACACUCCACCGUUGUCUUCUUGGAAUGCUGUGUAAAACUGUCUCAGAGUUUUCUCUGGCCAAACCGAUUGUUUAAAGAGUUUAAAUGUGGUUCUGGCCAAAGGAUGAUUUAUGUACCCAUCUUAUAUACUGUGACUAGUCUUACAAUAACUCUUACAAGCUAAAGGCUUACCAAAACAAAGGUUAUCUGUUCAAUCUCCUCUGCUCUGAUUUCUUCUUCCGCAUUUUCCACUUCGCCUUUACCAAUUUUUCUAUACCCAUGUUUCCUCUACCAGCUUCAAUCCAAUUACUUAUGCUUCCCUAGCUACCAAUUAAUCAGCUUCUUCUCUUUGAACUUCUAGUCAACAACUUCUAUAGUAAAAACAUCAUUGUUAUUUUCGGUUUUGGUUAAUUAUGCACUUCAUCAUCAACUUGAAGUUCAACAACUCUGCUCGCGCGAGGGAGAUGAAUCCAUGGCAACUUGCGGAAUGAGGAGGAUAAAGCUGGGAAGUCAAGGCCUUGAGGUAUCGGCGCAAGGCUUUGGUUGCGCUCACUACGGUCCUUCAAAGCCGGAAACUGACGACAUUGCUCUCCUCCAUCACGCUAAUAUCUCCGGUCCUCACACCAAUGAAUUGCUCCUCGCCAAGGUUUUGAUUUCGAUCAGUUUCGAGAGAUUGUUAGAGAUGUUUGGGGUUUGUGUGUUCUCAUUUGGUCGAAUCCCAAACAACAAAAACUUGGCAUUGAUUCUUUUCAUGAAUUUCAUAUUUGUAGUAUGUAGAGAUGAUGAUUACAUUGUUGAAUUUGUUUAACUCUGCCAGGCUUUGAAGGAUGGUAUGAGGGAGAAAGUAGUGCUUGCUACCAAAUUUGGAUGCAUUUUGGUUAAGGGAAAGAGAGAUGUUAGAGGAGAUCCUGAGUAUGUUAGAGCUGCGUGUGAGGCUAGUUUAAAGCGGCUAGAUGUUUCCUGCAUUGAUCUUUAUUAUCAACAUCGGGUCGAUGCGCGCGUCCCUAUUGAAAUCACCGUAAGCCCUCCUCUUGCAAAUCCUCAUCCAUGCCAUUGUUUCAAAGUUUUCAAGUCAGUUCGUCUUAGUCUUGGGAAAUGAUUGAACUAAUAGGCUCUCUGACAGUAGAUUGGAGGCGAUGAUAUUCGCUUGCGUCACUUUAAGUGAACAUUGGAGCUUUAUCAGUGAAACUCACUCCAGAAGAGAUUUCUGAGCUCGAGACCAUUUCCCAACCAGAGUCUGUGAAAGGAGAAAGAUACAUGGCCACAGUGCCAACCUUCAAGAACUCCGACACACCACCGUUGUGUUCUUGGAAUGCUGUGUAAAACUGUUUGUGAGUUUCUCUGGCCAAACCUAUGGUUUUAAGAGUUUAAGGUGGCUCUAGCCAAAGGAUGAUUUAUGACUUUAUGUAUAGAAUACAUUAUUUUCUACCCAUCUUAUACACUGUGAGUCUGUGACCAGGUCUCUGCAUAGUCUUAGUGAUCCAUAUCAGCAUGAUUUAAACGUCCCACCUGGCUUAGCGUUAGGAGUUUUAGACACCUAAUGGCUAAUGCCAAUGAGUAUUCCCAUCAUAUUUGAACAUUUUCCACUUCUUCCAUUUAAAACUUAGCUAGAGCCAAUGAUUUGGAACCAGCCUACAAGACUUCCAAGUAGACAAACUAUAGGUGACAAAAGAUAAAACUUGCCACGUACAGUAUUCUCAAAUAAAGAACACAAAUUGUAGAUAAGAACAUGAAGACCAAAAACUACCUAAUAAUACAAAACUUGCCUACUCAAGAAGACAUGACUCGUUGACUCAGGAUUCAAGACCAUGAAAAAAACAAAUAAUCGAUUAGGUGAAGACUACUGAGCACAAAGUGUUGACACAUCUUUGAAGAUAUAUCACUCAAACACGUACGUAUACAUAGUUCUCAUGUAAGACUAAAAGAAAGAUCUUUUGUAAAAGCACUUUUGUAAAAGAAAGAGGCAAUUUGAGAGUUUUUUUAAUCACACCACUCAUCAACCCAACUUCAACAACUACUCCACUCAGUUCUAAACUCUACAAAAGAGAGAAAGAGAGAGUGAGAUUUGUGACAAAAAUCCAUGGCUGAAGCUUGCAGAGUGAGGAGGAUGAAGCUAGGAAGCCAAGGCCUUGAGGUAUCGGCACAAGGCCUUGGUUGCAUGGCCCUCUCCGCUCGCUACGGUGCUCCCAAGCCGGAAACUGAAGCCAUCGCUCUCCUCCACCAUGCUAUCAACUCUGGUGUUACUUUCUUUGACACCUCUGACAUGUACGGUCCUGAGACCAACGAGUUGCUCCUAGGCAAGGUUCGAUCUACGACUUUAUCUUUUUUUAUUCAAAAGAUUGUCCUAGAUAUUUUGGUUUUUUAUCUUUUAGGAAACAAACUUAGAC